CUUGUGGGGGAGGCUUAAACAUGCAAGUCGAACGAUGAUGCCCAGCUUGCUGGGUGGAUUAGUGGCGAACGGGUGAGUAACACGUGAGUAACCUGCCCCUGACUCUGGGAUAAGCGUUGGAAACGACGUCUAAUACUGGAUAUGAUCACUGGCCGCAUGGUCUGGUGGUGGAAAGAUUUUUUGGUUGGGGAUGGACUCGCGGCCUAUCAGCUUGUUGGUGAGGUAAUGGCUCACCAAGGCGACGACGGGUAGCCGGCCUGAGAGGGUGACCGGCCACACUGGGACUGAGACACGGCCCAGACUCCUACGGGAGGCAGCAGUGGGGAAUAUUGCACAAUGGGCGAAAGCCUGAUGCAGCAACGCCGCGUGAGGGAUGACGGCCUUCGGGUUGUAAACCUCUUUUAGUAGGGAAGAAGCGAAAGUGACGGUACCUGCAGAAAAAGCACCGGCUAACUACGUGCCAGCAGCCGCGGUAAUACGUAGGGUGCAAGCGUUGUCCGGAAUUAUUGGGCGUAAAGAGCUCGUAGGCGGUUUGUCGCGUCUGCUGUGAAAUCCCGAGGCUCAACCUCGGGCUUGCAGUGGGUACGGGCAGACUAGAGUGCGGUAGGGGAGAUUGGAAUUCCUGGUGUAGCGGUGGAAUGCGCAGAUAUCAGGAGGAACACCGAUGGCGAAGGCAGAUCUCUGGGCCGUAACUGACGCUGAGGAGCGAAAGCAUGGGGAGCGAACAGGAUUAGAUACCCUGGUAGUCCAUGCCGUAAACGUUGGGCGCUAGAUGUAGGGACCUUUCCACGGUUUCUGUGUCGUAGCUAACGCAUUAAGCGCCCCGCCUGGGGAGUACGGCCGCAAGGCUAAAACUCAAAGGAAUUGACGGGGGCCCGCACAAGCGGCGGAGCAUGCGGAUUAAUUCGAUGCAACGCGAAGAACCUUACCAAGGCUUGACAUACACCGGAAACGGCCAGAGAUGGUCGCCCCCUUGUGGUCGGUGUACAGGUGGUGCAUGGUUGUCGUCAGCUCGUGUCGUGAGAUGUUGGGUUAAGUCCCGCAACGAGCGCAACCCUCGUUCUAUGUUGCCAGCGGGUUAUGCCGGGGACUCAUAGGAGACUGCCGGGGUCAACUCGGAGGAAGGUGGGGAUGACGUCAAAUCAUCAUGCCCCUUAUGUCUUGGGCUUCACGCAUGCUACAAUGGCCGGUACAAAGGGCUGCGAUACCGUAAGGUGGAGCGAAUCCCAAAAAGCCGGUCUCAGUUCGGAUUGAGGUCUGCAACUCGACCUCAUGAAGUCGGAGUCGCUAGUAAUCGCAGAUCAGCAACGCUGCGGUGAAUACGUUCCCGGGCCUUGUACACACCGCCCAGUCAAGUCAUGAAAGUCGGUAACACCCGAAGCCGGUGGCCUAACCCUUUGUGGAAAGGGAGGCCCCUUUGAA
rnacentral:rRNA from 1 species